rnacentral:tRNA from 1 species
GCCGGCGUAGCUCAGUGGUAGAGCAACACAUUCGUAAUGUGUCGGUCCGGGGUUCAAAUCCCCGCGCCGGCU